rnacentral:misc_RNA from 1 species
GUGAAUCAUCAAAUCUUUGAACGCAAAUUGCACUCCCUGGUAUUCCGGGGAGUAUGCCUGUUUGAGGGUCGGCCUAUAAAAAUCGACAUCGUUGCUGUUUCGCGGUGGCGUUCGGCGGUAAUUGGGUCAUCUUAAAUCCUUUUGAUUUAAGCGACUUAAAACUUUCUUUUGGUUCCAUGAACGUUUCUAAGAUCUAUUUCUUUACACGUUUAGGGUAUCGAUUUUUACUAAACGUGACCAUCAUAUCGGAUCGCGUCCAUAACCUUUCAUUAACUGCCCUCAGACAGCUA